UCGGCUUCAAGGCUGUUCCGCAAGUCGAUUCAUUUACAGACUGUUCUUCAAAUGCGGCGGUCACCUGUGACCCACAUUCAUAACUCCCUCAGCCACUAGACGACAAAAGAAGCCCUGAGUUUAGGCUGACUGAGAUUUUCAUUCUAGCUUUGCUAUACAUUUGGGCAAGCUUUACUUUGGGGAAAGGAAAGAAAAAUCAGCAGCUCUCAUCUCCUGGAGGCACAGUGGCUUGUCCUCCACAGUCCCCUCGGUUUGCUGACUGACUGGAGGAGAGAGAGCACCUGCAGAAGCCCUGCGACUCCUCCCCCAGAUAAUUCAUAAAGAAAUGAUGGGGAAAACACAUCAAAGAUAGAGUGAAUAAAGCAAACGUGCCACAUAUACAC
rnacentral:lncRNA from 1 species